rnacentral:rRNA from 1 species
UUUAAAUUGAGAGUUUGAUCCUGGCUCAGGAUGAACGCUGGCGGCGUGCUUAACACAUGCAAGUCGAGCGAUGAAGUUUCCUUCGGGAAACGGAUUAGCGGCGGACGGGUGAGUAACACGUGGGUAACCUGCCUCAUAGAGUGGAAUAGCCUUCCGAAAGG